rnacentral:rRNA from 1 species
UACGGAGGGUGCAAUCGUUAUCCGGAUUCACUGGGUUUAAAGGGUGCGUAGGCGGGCAGGUAAGUCAGUGGUGAAAUCCUUGGGCUUAACUCGAGAACUGCCAUUGAUACUAUCUGUCUUGAAUAUUGUGGAGGUAAGCGGAAUAUGUCAUGUAGCGGUGAAAUGCUUAGAUAUGACAUAGAACACCUAUUGCGAAGGCAGCUUACUACGCAUAUAUUGACGCUGAGGCACGAAAGCGUGGGGGAUCAAACAGGA